ensembl:lncRNA
UGGCUGGACCAAGGCUUUAACAUGGAGGGUAGAUGCUAGGUGAUAGAAUGGCUGGACCAAGGCUUUAACAUGGAGGGUAGAUGCUAGGUGAUAGAAUGGCUGGACCAAGGCUUUAACAUGGAGGGUAGAUGCUAGGCAAUAGAAUGGACCAAGGCUUUAACAUGGAGGGUAGAUGCUAGGCGAUAGAAUGGACCAAGACUUUAACAUGGAGGGUAGAUGCUAGGCGAUAGAAUGGACCAAGACUUUAACAUGGGGGGUAGAUGCUAGGUGAUAGUCUGGACCAAGGCUUUAACAUGGAGGGUAGAUGCUAGGGGAUAGAAUGGCUGGACCAAGGCUUUAACAUGGGGAAC